CUAUCUCGUCGGAGAGGAAGACGAUGGCGGCGUGCUCCGGCGGCGACGGCGGCUUCAUGGCUUCUUCGGCGGCGACGGCUUUGGGCGGCGGCUUCUCUUCCUCGCGGAUGGCGCCUUCUCUUCCGGCCUCCUUUCUUCUUCUCCCGGCUCCUCUUCUCUUCCUCCCGACCUUCCUUCCCUUCUCCCGGACUCCUUCUUCC
rnacentral:lncRNA from 1 species